rnacentral:lncRNA from 1 species
GGGGGGGGAAAAAAAGAGUGCGAGAGAAGGGAAAAACCCCCACAAGUUAAUUUAACAGAGCAGUCGCCAGUCAGCUCCUCAGGCAUAAACAGGCAGCCGAGGCGCUGCGCGUGGGCUGACUUCAACGCUGGAUGCCGAGCAGCGCUUGGCACAGGUAAGCGGGACUUUCAUCGCAGACCCAAAUUAACACCGGUAAUUCCUUGCCGUCCGAAUUGCGGCCGAAGGAACAACCCCGGGCGGGGCUCAGAGGCCGGGCCGCCGCCCCCACCCCCGGCCGCGCCUCGGCCGAACAAAGGCGGCGGUGGCGGCGGGGCCGCUCCGUGCGGUGCGAGCACGGCGAGGGUCCAGCCCACACAGAGCCGAGCCCGGCAGCGCUGGAAGCGCCCCGCACCCCGGCCCCACGCUCGGCCCGGCCCCACUCCGCGGCGUGUCGGGAGGAAGCGCCGGCCGCCGGCCCCUCGGCUCGCCCGCCCCCCGUCUCCUCCCCUUCGCAGCCGAUCCUCCGCCCCCUCCUCCUCCUCCCGCUGGCGGCGGCGGCGGCUUUCUCGGCCCCGGCUCCCCCCGCUUUUCCCCGCGGCUUCGCCUCGCUCCUCAGCGGGAGGCUCCGCGUCGUGCCGGCGAAGACGGCAGUGCUGCAAGGAGCCUCUGGGAGUUCCAGGGAGAAGAGACCUGUCCCCUUUUGGAGAUCUUUGCUACUGGUGACGACCUUCAAACAAGUCAAGCAGACAAAGCAGGAGCUCAGAAGUUUUACAUCAAGCUCUGCAGAUCUGCUUCCACAGGCUUUACAAGCUGAUGAGGUGAGUAAAGAGGCACUGCAAGCUAGAAGGCAUGCUUUGUUUUCUAUAGUUCUGUCUCCUGAUAC